rnacentral:rRNA from 1 species
GAGUUUGAUCAUGGCUCAGGACAAACGCUGGCGGCGUGCUUAACACAUGCAAGUCGAACGAUGAAACGGAACGGAAGUUUUCGGACGGAAGUUCUGUGGAUUAGUGGCGGACGGGUGAGUAAUGCAUGAAGAACCUGCCUUUCACAUAGGAAUAGCCUCGGGAAACCGGGAUUAAUACCAAAUGACACUCCGAGAUCGCAUGUUUUUGGGGUUAAAGAUUUUAUCGGUGAAAGAUGGCUUCAUGUCCCAUUAGCUGGUUGGUGAGGUAACGGCUCACCAAGGCGACGAUGGGUAGCCGGCCUGAGAGGGUGAACGGCCACAUUGGAACUGAGACACGGUCCAAACUCCUACGGGAGGCAGCAGUGGGGAAUAUUGCACAAUGGAGGGAACUCUGAUGCAGCGACGCCGCGUGAGCGAUGAAGGUCUUCGGAUCGUAAAGCUCUGUCCUAAGGGACGAUAAUGACGGUAC